rnacentral:lncRNA from 1 species
AUUUUGUUUCCCCCUAUAAACCCAGUGUGAGUGGCAACUGCUGUAAUUAGGGAGCACAGCCCCCCCCAAGGCUUUCCCUCUACAUUCUGCAUUUCCAUAUUGUCUACUUAGCAGGGUUCUUGGCCCUUCGAUUAUACUUGUGCUAGUUUCAAAAGUCAGCUGGUCCUGACACAGCUCUGCCACAGUCCAGCCAUCACCUGUGCCAUUUCAGUUCUCAUGACAUCACAGGAGCCCAACCCUGGACAUCACAAGAGAUUAACCUUUGGCCUCAGGUUUUGACCCUGAAAACCUCAGGAACCAGGAUGGUACUAUGGAUGUUGAGUGAUAAAAGUAAUUUUGGCUAGGACUUACUGGGUUUAAAUUCUACCAUCAGCAGGUAUGGAGUGUGGCUGUUAUACAGGUUAAUGGGUUUUUUCCCAUUCCAUACUUGUUUAUUUUGUGGCACCUUGACUGUAAGCAGAAGUCAGUAUUCUGUGGCCAGGAGUGGGAGUUAACCUGCUAAAUAGACAGAAGUCAGUAUUCUGUAAGCAGAAGUCAGUAUUCUGUGACCAGGAGUGGGAGUUAACCUGCUAAAUAGAUCCUACUGCCAUUUUGAAACAGCAGUAACAGUGAUGGGGCAGAGACCCAGCUGGGGAUGUGUGAAAUCUGGAUUAUAGGAUAGUUGAAUGACAGGAUUUGAAGGACUGGAUGGCAGGAAUCUGGGAAGUGAAGAGCACUCUACCUUUGGAGGCUGCUCCGUCCCUACCGUACAGCCACAGGUCUCAUGGACACUCAGUCUUUGUCAUGUGCCAAAUUUGGCAAGAAGCUGGAUUGUGUGCAUUAAGGCAGCUCCAUACAGCAUCAUACAAGUUUGAUGGCCUGAUUGAAGAUAAGAAGUUAGCUGCUCUAAGACGUACUGGUGAUUUGCUUCUGUCUUUUAUAACCACCCUAGUUAUACCCCUUGCCUAUAGGAACAAGGAGGGGAAACGUCCCCUGGUUGUUUCCUUUUACACUUACACAACAUACCUGUUGUUUUAAUACACUGGAGGAAAAGGGAUUUGUGGGGGGGGGUUGUUUUUGUUUUUUAAGUCCAUGUCAUUUGUGCUUAGUUCUCAUUUCUUCCUGACAGCCAGUGCAUGGUGGAAGGCAGGAAAUCGGAAUGGAGCCUAGUUUAAUAAGCUUAUUUCUCUACCUCACUGUCUGGAAUCAGCCCACACUAAAAAGGUUGAUAGGGUGAAUUAUCAGAAU